CGGGCGAAAGGGGCUGAAAUUCAAGUAGGGAAGCAUGCGUGGACGAAGGCGAGAAAAGCCUUGUGUAUAUCGAGGAUGCCCGUACCGCAAACCGACACAGGUAGACAGGAAGAGGAUUCUAAGGCCAACGGGAGAAGGGUAGUUAAGGAACUCGGCAAAUUGACCCCGUAACUUCGGGAAAAGGGGUGCUCUGGAAACAGAGCCGCAGUGAAUAGGCCCAGGCAACUGUUUAGCAAAAACACAGGUCUCUGCAAAAUCGAAAGAUGAAGUAUAGGGGCUGACACCUGCCCAGUGCUGGAAGGUUAAGAGGAGGGGUGCAAGCUCCGAAUCGAAGCCCCAGUGAACGGCGGCCGUAACGAUAACGGUCCUAAGGUAGCGAAAUUCCUUGUCGGGUAAGUUCCGACCCGCACGAAUGGUGUAAUGAUCUGGGCACUGUCUCAACUACCCGCCCGGCGAAAUUGUAGUACCGGUGAAGAUGCCGGUUACCCGCGACAAGACGGAAAGACCCCAUGGAGCUUCACUGCAGCUUAAUAUUGGGUUUCGAUAUUUUAUGUACAGGAUAGGCGGGAGACUAGGAAGCAGAGGCGCCAGCCUUUGUGGAGUCAACCUUGGGAUACCGCUCUUAAAGUAUUGGAAUUCUAACCUGCGGCCAUGAAUCUGGCCGGGGGACAUUGUUAGGCGGGCAGUUUGACUGGGGCGGUCGCCUCCAAAAGAGUAACGGAGGCGCUCAAAGGUUCGCUCAGCACGGACGGAAACCGUGCCUUAGAGUGUAAACGCAUAAGCGAGCCUAACUGCGAGACCGACGGGUCGAGCAGUAACGAAAGUUGGAGUUAGUGAUCCGGCGGUAUGAGAGUGGAAUUGCCGUCGCUCAACGGAUAAAAGCUACCCUGGGGAUAACAGGCUGAUCUCCCCCAAGAGUCCACAUCGACGGGGAGGUUUGGCACCUCGAUGUCGGCUCAUCACAUCCUGGGGCUGUAGUAGGUCCCAAGGGUUCGGCUGUUCGCCGAUUAAAGUGGUACGCGAGCUGGGUUCAGAACGUCGUGAGACAGUUCGGUCCCUAUCUGUCGCGGGCGCAGGAUAUUUGAAGGGCUCUGUCCUUAGUACGAGAGGACCGGGAUGGACGUACCUCUGGUGCACCAGUUGUCACGCCAGUGGCACAGCUGGGCAGCUAAGUACGGUGCGGAUAAACGCUGAAAGCAUCUAAGCGUGAAGCCGACCCUAAGAUAAGAUAUCCCACUGAGUAAUCAGGUAAGGUCCCAGGAAGACUACCUGGUAGAUAGGCUGCAUGUGUAAGAGCAGCGAUGUUUUUAGCUUGGCAGUACUAAUAGGCCGAGGGCUUGACCGA
rnacentral:rRNA from 1 species